GUGGGCAGCAGGGCGCAGGGCAGGGCAGCGGGGCUCUCGGGGGCCCUGCCCCUGCGCGGGGUUAGCCUGCAACAGGGGAUGCUGAGGACACUCAUUUCCUGUAAGCUCCAAGGCCAAAUAUUCGCCCUGCCCUGUGAACUCAGCGAGGAAAACAUGUAAGGUUCCAGUGUCACGUAGCCACAAUUAAAACAAAGAUCUCAGAGGCAGCUCAAGGCCCGUAGAGGAAAAGAUCGGGGGCAGCUCAAGGCCCGUACAGGAAAAGAUCGCUGUUCGCCCCACAGCCCUGGAUUGCCCCUUCCCUGGGCAAAAAGGAAUCACUUUGCUGCAAGCGGUAGCCGGUUCUCAGUGCUGAUUUCAGUCUUUCUCAGUGGGGAAGUGAAGAGAGAAAGAGACAGAGAGAGAAGCAGUGACAGAGAGAGAGAGAGGGAAGGAGAGCGAGAGAGCCCUGCCAAAGUUGGGAUCCAGACAUAAGCUGCUAGAUGAAAAAUUCCUGCUUGUCUUGUCCAAUGCUUCAAAAGCAGCACCCAAAGAGGCAUCUGUUUUGGGACAGGUGGGUCUGUGAAUUUCAGGUAACCCCUCACUUUUGGGAUGGGCCUGUGUUGAUUUCCAGUGUUAUGUGGGACAAUGCAGUAGGUACUCCAAUAGUUGAGUUUUCCAUGCCGUCUUUUGGUGGGAGCCACCAGGUCUUUAAGAAAAAACAAACAGUUGUCACAAGGUGGAUGGGGAAAACUGAGAGAUUUGUCAACCUGGCUGAUCUCACAUCAUGAUGGUCCCUACCUCUUACAUAGCCCUUUUUAGACCUAGAAUGUAAAAUGUAUGACGGAGUCAGCUUUGUUAUCCCCAUUUUACUGAUGGGAAAACUGAGGCACUGAGCAAGGCAAUAGCUUGCCCAAGAUUACCCAACAAGGCAGACAUAGAUCCAGGAUUAGCACCAUGUUUCUUGCUCCCCAGUCUAAUGCCUUAUCCCCUAGACCAGGGAUCUGCCACUUAUGGCUCUCAAGCCAAAUCUGGCUCAGUCUGGAACCAAAACUGUCUCUUCUUUCAUUCUCAAAAUGCAGGCAACUUUUAAAAUUAAAAUGAAAAAGUAAUUCAAAAUUUGAAAAAGGUGUCGUUACUCGUGGCGCUUGAAUGCUGCAUGACCCUGAAUUGGACCAGUUAUGAUGUAAACUUGAAAGAAAUGUGCGAAAAGAUGCAGCAGCACAAGUCCCAUGAAAUAAAGUCUGUGAGUCCAAUGGUUCAUUGGCGCUCUGAUUAAUCAUCAUGUCAAUUAUUAAUAUUAUUUCAGUCAUACAAAUGGGCGUUCUGAUGCGGCUCUUUGUUGAUCCCUUGUUCUGAAGUUUGAUGUCGUUUGGCUCUUUGAUUUGAAAAGGUUGCCGACCCCUGCCCCAGACAAGCCCAAAUAACUCUCACGAGCAGAGCUCACAUAUUCCGUUCCACUUCCCAUCCCUCUGCUCCAGAGCAGUUGCUCCCGCGGGUGCUGAGUGAAUGUGAAACACCACCGUGCACACCGCUUUGCACGGGUGCCCACGACAGCACAACCUGGGAGUUUCCUCCUGAUUCAAUCAAAUCCUCUUUCCUUACUCCCUCCACCGCCUCUGCCCGGGGUUAGGAGAGAGGCCACAUCGCUGCUGUCAGUCUGUGUGCGUGCCGAUCGGCUGAAUGCAAGAGAAAAUCAAUCAAACUGAAAUUAAAAAAAUUAAAGAGAGAAUUCAAAUGAACCCCCCUCUGAUAAUGGGAGAUGACAUUUGAGUCAUUGAGAUUCUGAUAUUAAUGGAACCUCAUUCAGCUCGGUGCAUUUUCAUGCAAAUUUCCACGUCUCGGGCAAACUGUCCACUCCCGCCCACUCUCCCCCCGUUUGGUGCCCAAGUUUGAAUCCUUCUCCUCUUCGCGCUGGAUAAUUAUCAACAGUUCCUUAUCUCUAAUUGCAGCCUGAUGGCUUUGUCUUCAUUCACUGCGUGGCCCCGGGGCCAAACGAGGCGGGAUUGAUCCGCAAGGAGGGUGCUGUGCGAAAGGUCUGGGAAUGAGACCUGCCAAUCAGUCGGGAGGCGAAACCUCCUCGCUGCUUAUAAAAGAGCGGGUGUUGGAAAGUGUGUGUGUUGGGGGAGGGAGGGUUGUCUGUAGAGGACUAGGUGGCUCCAGCAAACUUUGAUGAUGGGGCUAGGAGGCGACAUACAGACGGUUUUAGCUCACGAAAUCCAUGGCUACUUUGAUGAUUAAAAGGGGGGCGCUAACUCCCAGCCGACCCAAACUCAGGGCCCCCCCUUGCGCUGCACGCGCACAUCGUGAGAGGCCAUCCCUGACCGGAAGAGCUUGCAAACUCAAUGCACAAGACAGUCAGGGGAAACUGAGGCACAGAGCCACCGGUGCAGAAUCCACUGCUGGGCACGGAAGGAGCCGGAAGGAGCGUCGUCUCUGAGUAUAUAACCCCCGUAUGGAAAGACUCAGCUUCUUGUGUUGAAUUUUCAGAGGGGUUUGGUUUUUAGACAUUGAAACAAAGUAAAGCCAGAAUUUCAGAACCCUGCCGCUCCAGAGGAAUCUAGGCCAAAGUCCUGCAUGCGUGAAGUCCUGGGACCAGACCCUCUAAGGUAUUUUAGGCACCUAACUCCCUUUGGAGUAAAGCACCUAAGUAUCUUGCAGGACCAGACCCUAGCUGCGUUCCACCCAGCCAGCGACUACGAUUAGGUUUUGAUCAGUGCACCUUCCCCCGGAACGGCCAAGCCUCCCCACUAAGAGGCUGGCCUGUCCCACUGCCCCCGUCCCUCCCUCCCUCUCCCCAUCUGAUAGGCACAAGGCAGUGGGGUACGUGGGAGGGGGGCUGUUCUCCUUUAAUUGCACCUCCCAGGCGGUUGAGGCGCAGCAGCCAAUGGGAGUGUUUCUGACAGGUGGGGACGGACAAACAGCUACAGGAGGGUUCCCAAAGUCUUAAGAAGCCAAACGGAGCCGCCUGCUCCACUUUUUAAACGUUGCUGCCACCAAGUGGAGUGAUCCUCAUAUUGCACCGGCCUCCUGGCCGCCUCCCCCUGCCUUUUCCCAGUUUCUUCCCCAGCCUUUGAUAUUCACAUUUUCACAUCAACACCUGUGAAUGGGACACACCCAGCCCACUUAAUUCGCUUUAUUAACAUGGGUCCUACA